AGGGUGCGAGCGUUAGUCGGAUUUACUGGGCGUUAGCGUGCGUAUGCGGCUUUUUAAGUCGGAUGUGAAAUCCCUGAGCUUAACUUAAGAAUUGCAUUCGAUACUGGAAAGCUAGAGCUGGGAGAGGAUGGUAGAAUUCCAGGUGUAGCGGUGAAAUGCGUAGAGAUCUGGAGGAAUACCGAUGGCGAAGGCAGCCAUCUGGCCUAAUACUGACGCUGAGGUACGAAAGCAUGGGGAGCAAACAGGAUUAGAUACCCUGGUAGUCCAUGCCGUAAACGAUGUCUACUAGCCGUUGGGGCCUUUGAGGCUUUAGUGGCGCAGCUAACGUGAUAAGUAGACCGCCUGGGGAGUACGGUCGCAAGACUAAAACUCAAAUGAAUUGACGGGGGCCCGCACAAGCGGUGGAGCAUGUGGUUUAAUUCGAUGCAACGCGAAGAACCUUACCUGGUCUUGACAUAGUAAGAACUUUCCAGAGAUGGAUUGGUGCCUUCGGGAACUUACAUACAGGUGCUGCAUGGCUGUCGUCAGCUCGUGUCGUGAGAUGUUGGGUUAAGUCCCGCAACGAGCGCAACCCUUUUCCUUAUUUGCCAGCGGGUUAAGCCGGGAACUUUAAGGAUACUGCCAGUGACAAACUGGAGGAAGGCGGGGACGACGUCAAGUCAUCAUGGCCCUUACGACCAGGGCUACACACGUGCUACAAUGGUCGGUACAAAGGGUUGCUACCUAGCGAUAGGAUGCUAAUCUCAAAA
rnacentral:rRNA from 1 species